CAGAGAACAUCUGUCACUUCCUGAGGUCUCAGAGUCAGACCGCCCCUCCACUGUCACCCAGAUGGAAAAGCUCAACGAUUCUCAUAAACCC
rnacentral:lncRNA from 1 species